GACUUACACAAGGAUUCCUGAUGGAUGAUGCAGUGAAGGAAAAUAAGAUCCUGGUCAGUGUUUUCCUCUUUGUCCUGGAUUCUUUUCAGCAACCCAACAUUUUUUCCACUUAAAAUUGGAGAUCCAUCAGUUGUGAUAUUGACAAGUUUACUCCAAGGUAGCUUCAUUCUUUCAAUGACAGCAGACACCUAGUUAUACAAGUCCUCUCCCCGCGUUGUUCCUUUCAUGGACUCCAUGGUCAAAAACUCCUGUUAUCGCAAAACUGUCAUAAAUGCCUUGCAUAAACAUGAGGAGCUGAGCAGUGUCUUUUACGUCCGUACUUUCAUCCAGUGCUAGUGAAUAUAACUCAAAGGAAUCAAAGUUUUUGUUUAAUUGGCUGGCUAUAUUUUCAUCAAUCAGUUCCACACGGCGAGUCACAGUCCUGCGUGAUACAGAGCUGCCAACUUUUCAAAAAACCUUGGAGUGAGAUUCUGUCGGGGGUGACGGGGGUUGCCGCCAUAGACUGUAUAUAUAAAUGGACAGAGGGUCCUUGACGUCACCCGUUGGUUUCUGCAGAGUGAGAAUGAGGCUAGUCGGAGGCGUUCCCCCGGGGCCACCUUGCCAGUGCUGACUCUUCCUAGGUUCCUGGCUAACCAAUCAAUGGGCAAGGAAGAGGAGCGAGAGUGUCGACCCACAGCUUAGCGACGGCAGCAGAGCUCUUUGCUGCGGCUAACUGGCGACAUGCUAACAUCCGGUGCUAACAAGCUACCGCUGCUACCGGAUGGUCGCCAUCUUUACCAUGAACUAGAGGUAAGUAACCUUGAAACUACACAACCAAAAUCUAUUGCUUUAUCUUUCAUCAUAUGCUUACAUGCCUAAAGUGUUUUUUUUAAUAUGUAAUUGUUAUAAAAGUUAGUUUUUUUUAACAUGUCUAAUGAACAGAUUGAAGCAAGUUAACUACAGAGUUGUGUGUUUGGUUGCGACUUGAAUUUUUAUUUUAAUAAGUUAAUAUCAAUAUACGCUACAUGUGUCAGUUGCAUGUGAUAGUAACUAUGUCUCACAAAUAUUCUGAUACAGGCUGGUAUAUCCACCAUUACUAUUGCACCUCGUUUAUUUAGCCUGUUAUGGAAUUUUAGAGUGAAUUAGACAGUUUAGAUAUGAUUAUAAUCUCCACACACCAGUGUCGUAAACAGUUCUCAUUAUAUAAUUAUGUUUUCACACUGAGGGAAGUGGAGAGACUUGAUGUGGACUGUUAUCAACAGCUCUUUGGGAGAUUAUCACCUUGAAUAUAACAGAUGAGGUAGAAAUACAUUUGAUCUAUUAUAAAAUGUUUUAUUUCGUUCAGUACUUUUAUCAAAAGCGACUUAAAAUAUGUGCAUUUAACCAUGAGGAUACGAACCCAGAGCCCAGUACCAGUACGGAGAAAAAAGGUUUUCACAGCGAAUCUGUUGGUUUCUGCAGGUAUGUGGGUUUCCUUUUUGAUUUAAUAAUUGAUUGCCCAACAAUAUGUUACUGGUGUGUGUAGUUUUUAAAAGGAAAGGGUGUGUAUACUGUGUUUUAUGUACUGUAAGAAAAGUAGGGAGUGUAUUUUUGUCUCACUAAGGAUUUUUGAACGGAGAAAAAGGUUUUCACAGCGAAUCUGUUGGUUUCUGCAGGUUUCAGCAGGUGAAUAAAAGACUCAAAAAAAGUCACAAAAUCACGUGUCCCACAUCUGUUACACCAAGACAAUGAAUGUACGGUAUGGAGUUCUUUCACAUUAAAAGUAAUGCAUAUAUUAUUUAAUACAUUAUGUAUUAUGUGUAAUACUUUGCUUUGAUUGUUUGUAAGUAAUGAAAACAGGUUUGUACCUGGAGUCAGUGUUGAAGUGAUGACUCAGUGUACAGUCUGGUUGGAUACCAGUUGUGUCUCAUGUUGGACAUCCUAAAUGAACAUUCAACACAAACACAGAUAUGUAAAGUCAUACAUGUGCCAGGUUAACUCCUUAUAGGACUUUUACAUGGUAAAAAUAAUAGUUUAUUACUUCAAAGUUCAUCAGAUAUUAAUCCUUUCAGCUUAGGAAAUAGGUGGUGGCCUCAAAUGCUCUAUGAGACGGUCUAUUCUAGUAGAGUUAAAAUUCCUGUAAUUUAUUUAUAAUUAACACAAUAAUUCAGCGAAGUCUGCCUUAGAUUAACGAUGUAUGAUUAACUGAAGGUAGCAGACAGGUUUAGUUUUCACUGUAACACGUUACAACACAUCGACACCAAUACUCUGAAUAAAGAGCUUUAGGAGAAGUAAUUUAAACAGCUGCUCUUAAAAUGCAGAUGUGACUUUAAAUACUCACGUUUCAGUUGACCACAGUAAAUCUGUUUCUGCAGAUUAAGAAUCUGUGUAACAUUGUCAAUUCUAAUGGUUUGGCCAGUGAAACAAAUUUACAUUACAUCAGAUAUCUAAUGUGGUGGGGCAUAUUGUCCGAACACACAGUCUCCUGUCUCAGAUUCAUCCUCAUAAACUAACGCUUCUCUCUGCUUGGGGGACCGGCUCAUAUCGGUUCAUGUCGGUAAUAACUCCCAUUCGCAUCGCCAUUACUGCUGGUAUUUUGCCUCCGGGCUAGCUGAGCUAAGCUAACAACCCAGAUACAGAGACACCUUUACCUGCGAAUAACACAUCUAAAUAAAAUACUAAACUGUACUUACAACAGAAACGGGAGCGCAGAUGUCUUUAACUUGUCCGUCAGGAGAACAAGCAGAACAUCAAACCGUAUUAUUCAACCGGGGAGUAGCCUGUUAGCUCAGGUAGAGCCGACCAGGCACCAGGCUAGGAGUUACAGUCGUCGGGCUGACUGUGACAUCACGUGAAUUUCAAACCGCUAUAUCGCUUAAACGACGGAGUUAGAAAAAAAUUCACCCCCCUCAGAGUUGUCAUGAAGAAAUAACCUUGUGAUUGAGACUAAAACCAAUUUUUGUACCAGGCUGUAAACAGGUUUAAUCCUGCUCUAAAGUCGGGCUUUUUAACAUUGGAGUCAAUGGGACUUUCUGUUUCUUGGAGCCAGGCGUAGCGGAUUCCCAUGGAACUGCAGCUUUUUGCACCUCCAUAUCGGCUUCAUCGCUCAGCCCAGGAUGUUGCUCCUUGGUUGCCGCGCACGUUGCCACCACGUUGGUGGCUCAAAUAUCAGGGAAUUGGAAUUAAUUUGGUUGUUUCCAUGUUGUGCCCUGCAUUCUGGUUGUUUGUGGGGCCCAAAGUCGUUUUGUAGCGUUAAUUUGAGUUUCUGGCAUGUCUACCGUCCCAAAAUCUCUGGAAAAAAACAACGAUACGCAAAGGUACGUUGAAUGGGAUUACGACCGAAAUAAACGUCAUAGUCACACCAUGCCCAUGUAGGGAGUCUCGCUACAUGGCCUUGGACACACACACUCGCCUGCUCCUGGUAUUUCAUGACGGCCUGAUACGACAAUGUUUUAAAAAAUGAUUGUGACUUAGUCAACCAAAAAACAUGUUCGUCUUGUCAACGAAAGUUAAAAUAGAUUUAGUCAUAGUUUUUAUUUUCAAAGAUCCGUUUUUUUUUGGGCGUGAGAAAUUGGAUGUGCGCGUGUGAAAACAUGCAAAAGAGUGUGUCACACGGCGAAAGCUUGAGAGUUGGCAGCUCUAGUGAUAAACUGACUUUUUCAAAUUUGAUUUUGGUCUCCGGACACAAGAUGUCUGCUGUCUGUACCAUGCAUUCUUUUACAAACUCGCCUUCGGAGAAAGGCUUGCUAGCCUUUGCGAUUUCGAAGAUACCAAAAAACUUGCCUUGGUAGUUGACUCCUGAUUCGCACUUUGUCGAUGAUUUUUUUUUUUGGUGAGUCUGUUAAUUAGCCGCCAACCUCUGAGUCGUAGCCGCCCGUUCUUGCGUUGACUGCUUGCUAGCAAAGGUAGUAGAUUCGUAGCAAAAAGUAUUUUGUUUUCCACUUCGUGUUAAACACUGCACUCAUUGUCCACUUUUCGUUUCCUUGAACCGCUCAAUUUAUAGAAGGGCUUACAGGGCAAAGCGAAAAAUUGAAGGGAGAUCAUGUGCCCUUUCAAGCCCUAUACACCACACUCCCGGUCAAAUUAAUUUAGCUGACUCUUUUAUCCAAAGCGAGUUACAAUAAGUGCAUUCAACCCCAAGGAAUGCACUUAAAGCAAAACUACAAAGUUUAGUUUUGCUUUAUUUUUUAAUAAAAAAAAAAAAUUUGGACAAGAUCGGCGGGCCGGAUUAAAAAGCCCCUGGGCCGUACUUCUGUUCUAAAGUUAAUAAGAGGCGGGUGAGAUUCGCCUAAAACGCCUGUCUGAGGAAUGCCCAAAUUAAAUUGAAAGCUGUUCUUGAACCAUUUGGAGUACAUGCAUGAUCUUGGUCUCUUUUGAAAGGUACCAUUCUGAACUCCCCCCCCCCCCCCCUCCUAACAGCCAGAAUCACACUUACUGCUACUGGCAUUGAGUAAUAGCAGUUGGCACACAGUGAAGUAGAAGGUUUUUAUUUCCGUCUGAAUAUAUUUUUUAAUAAACAGAUGCCUGCAGAUGACUCUAGCUGGGACUUAUGAGCUGGAAAACACAAUGGGACCCUAGCAUGAAGCCUUGACUAGCCCAAGUUCAAAUUUGAUAACAAUACCACAGAAAAUGUAUAUUUGACAGAUUUUUUCCUAAGCGCAUGUCUAGGCGUUUUCCACAAAGGCCAUUUGGAGACUCCAAAGGACCCUUUGUAACCAUGGUAACCAACCAGGCUAAAAAGGGUAAUUUUACACUCAAAAUCAUACUUUUAUAUAAAGGAGACAAAACCGGUCAUAUGGUUUAAAAUUUAUACAAAUAAACAUCUUUCCUAUAUUUUAGCAACAUGUAGCAGUCACGACGGGGAUGAAACACUGAUGCACGAAGCUCUGGCACCAGCUGGACACUGUUACGCCGGGUUCACACCGGACACGGAAGCGAUGCCAAAGUGUGGCUAGGCGCAGCGCCAAGCCUUAAAUAACAGCUGGCUCCCAUUCCCAUGUUAAACCAUUGUGCGGGUCACACCGGGCGCUGAAGCACCGCGUCAAUGCUGCAUAACGCCGUGAAGCGACCUUUUCGGCGUCGAGUCUAUUUUUUCCGCUUGACGCGGGCGUAUCGCAACAUGAAACACACUGAAAAAUGAUUUUAAACGAUAUUGAUGAAAAUUUUUAAAUGAUAUAAAUUAUCAAAUAUGCAUCCCAUACUUUGUAUUCACCUUCUGUUGUCCAGGAGUUUUAAUUUUACCACUUUUACCAACCACAUUAUUAAAUGUCCCCCUCUGCCCAUCCACGACAGCCACACAAGCAGUCAUAAAGAUAAAGAGAGAGAGUUCUUCAAUAUGGAUGACAUUAAAUUAAGAAUUGAAGUGGAGAAGUACAGUGAGUUGUAUGAUUCUCGGAACAUGUUGUAUAAAGACAACACAAAAAAAUACAAAUGUUGGGACGCUGUUGCUGAAUGUUGGAGCAACAAGUAAGCAUAUGCUUUUAUACUACUGGAUCAACGGGUGAUAUAAUUAGCGCUGCCCGUCGCUUCCGUGUCCGGUGUGAACCCGGUGUUACGCAGUGACUUGCUCUGAAGGCUGAAUUAUAGUCCUGCGACUGCAACCACGGAAGGCCACGCAGCUGCAUCGACGGACUCGUUUUGGUUUAUACUUCUCUAACGUGCUGCGCGUGUUGCAACGCAAUUCACCGCCAGAACCCUAGGCGGAGUAACGUUUUUUUUCAAAGACAAAACACACAAAGAAGAGACUUCUUCUUCUUCGUCGACUGUUUAUUUACAUCGCCACUCCGGCUCCUCAUAGCCUAUUUCUGGCGGACAAAUCGGCCAGUCACUGACGGGUUAUACAAGUGGUCAUACUUUCGGAUCUCUUCUGCCAAGUGCUCUUCUAUUUGGUCCAUAUUCGUUCUUCUAAAUCUUCUGUGAUUUCCGCGUAUUGUGGGGCAUGAAACCGGAAACUAGACUCCGGACGGGAUGUAGAACGCAGACCAAUCACAAGCCUUGCGGGCUGCGUGAGGCUCGCGUCGCUUUGUCGUGUAGUUAGAAAAAUUGGCGGACGCACGCAAGCCCGCAGAGGGCACGAAAGGGUCGUGUUGCGUGUCUUGCGUGCGUGCGUGCGUGCAACCCGACUAUAAUUCGGCCUCAAGUCCCCCGUCAAACAGCGUAUCAUAAUUUGGGAAAUUUCAUUGGUUAAACAUUACGCCAGUCAUCAGAACAAUCUGUUGCAAUUGGCUCAGCCUUUACACGUCAGAAGAGGGGCAGGCUCUUUCCAAAAACAAGGUGACUCGUUUGCUAAUGCAGGCUGUGGACAGCCCAUGCCAGCUCAUGCCAGCCCCGAUUGGGUCAAGUUUAGAUUGACAGCUCACUUGAACCAAUAGGAUAUGGCUACCCACCCUUUUGAGAUCUUUGCUUAUAUAAAAACAGAAAUUACGAGGGAGUGUACGUCCCAGUUUACACGGAGGAGGUGGCUGCGCUGACAUUAUGCAACAGCUGACAGUGGCUAUUCUUGGAUGUAAUAGUGUUUUUUAAGACUGAUUAUGUUACUGGAUUGGAUCGUCUGGACCUUUGGCAAUGUACCAACACCGUUUUUGUUGGAAUGUUGUCGAUCUGUGGAUUAACAUGAAGCUUCUUAGCCAUCUCUCGUCCUAUUAGGGAGCGCUAGUGUUCAUUUUGUCCUGGCAGCUGUCCCAGAAGUUGAGCAGUCUACUGUCCUUGUUGCUGCAGAAGUCAGUGAAGUCCCUGAGCAGGCGGUCAGACAGCCUCUCGUCACCCAGCAGACCUGUCCUCCAGGCUUUGGUCAGCAUGGUGUUGUAGGCCCAGUAGUAACCGACCUGCUCCUCGCUGCCGAACGGGCCGUGGCUGUUGGAGGUGGUGGAGUUCCGGCGGCGGCGCUGCUGUCCACUCGAGUACUUCCUCUUGGAGUAUGGGAGCUGUAGGAACAAGGUCCCUGACAGGAACAAGUGGGAUUUAAGCUUCAUGUCUAGUGACCAAGAAGCAGCAAAUGUGACUUAAUAAAAGAAUUAAACCUGUAACGUGAAUGUACUGGGGUUUGUUCUCAGAGGGGAAAUUAAAAGCAGAAGCAGAAAACUUGUCGUGCACGAAGCCAAAUCUGGAAGAAAGAGAAACAUAUAUCGAUUCCUGCAUCUGAGACUCUUUGAAAAAAAAUUGCUUUGAAAAUAUAUUGGUGCCUCAUUCCUGAGCCUUUAGAGAUAUUCUACGAACAGAAUGUUUAGUAAGAUGUCAGUUUCAUUUUGUAAUUGAAUUUUUAAAGGUUUAAACAGCUACUGUGAAUAAAAAUGUAUUUAAA